CCUAUACUCUGUAUCUUUAGGUAUUUAAAUAUAAUUAUAACUUUUGUUGGUUAACCAACCAAAUACAAAACCACCUCGAUCAGUCACUGAACGACCUGACUUUAACCUACAUUAUUUGAUCGUGUAAUGUUUUCAUCUACCCUCAACUGGCUUAAGUAGCAAUAUGAGGGUAGAUUUUGUUUAUCUUUAUUUAAAUACCUAAAGAUACAGACUAUAGAU